UACCUGGUUGAUCCUGCCAGUAGUCAUAUGCUUGUCUUAAAGAUUAAGCCAUGCAUGUCUAAGUAUAAGCAUUUAUACCGCGAGACUGCGAACGGCUCAUUAAAACAGUUAUGGUUUAUUUGAUGGUUCCUUUGCUACUUGGAUAACCGUAGUAAUUCUAGAGCUAAUACAUGCACGAAGGGGCGACUUACGAAGCCCUGUAUUUAUUAGAUUAAAGCCAACCACCUCCGGGUGUCCGUGGUGAAUCAUAGUAACUUAUCGGAUCGCCGGCUCUAUGCCAGCGACGUGUCAUUCAAAUUUCUGCCCUAUCAGCUUUAGAUGGUAGGAUAUGGGCCUACCAUGGCGGUGACGGGUAACGGAGAAUUAGGGUUCGAUUCCGGAGAGGGAGCCUGAGAAACGGCUACCACUUCUAAGGAAGGCAGCAGGCGCGCAAAUUACCCAAUCCUGACUCAGGGAGGUAGUGACAAGAAAUAACAAUAAACCGGCUUAUGCCGGUUUAAUUGGAAUGAGUACAAUUUAAACAUCUUAACGAGGAACAAUUGGAGGGCAAGUCUGGUGCCAGCAGCCGCGGUAAUUCCAGCUCCAAUAGC
rnacentral:rRNA from 1 species